GCCUCGGUGGUGUAAUGGAUCAGCACGGCAGACCGCAUAUCUAUAAGUGCGAGUUCGAGUCCCGCCUGAGGUC
rnacentral:tRNA from 1 species